UUCCUUCAUGAACUGUCGGAGGCAAGGAACACCUCUUCGAGCCUGACAUCCUCGAUGUCACUAUCUGUCAGGCAGCACUUCGUCAGAAAACCGAGAACUCCGGUCCGUCGGCAUGGCGUCCCUCUUCACGGUGUACAUCGGCUGUGGUUACGGGAUUCAAAUGUGCCCGGCCUGACAAUGAGAAAGCAGGGCCGUCGCACAUUGUUAUGCAACUCGCUGUCUGCAAGGGUGGCUUGUAGCUCCUUCUUUAUUCGGUUCCAAGUGCGUGUUUAAUCAAUGUCACAGCUCACUCCAGUAACCAACAGAAGCCGCUGUCCCCUGCUUCCUCAGAUGUGCCUCGGUGCUAAGUUAUGCAAUGUUCUCAAGAAUACCUUCGAAUUAUCAUCAAAGCCUGUGAGUGAAGGCAUGGGAAAUUCCUAUUCUAUUGCCAGUAAGACUCUCUUCCCGGCUCUUCUGAAACACUGGCUACCUUAACUGACUGUGAUCGGAUGCAUAGCUUUCUGCAUUUGGAGCUAUAGCAUUUCUACGGGAGAGAGCAUCUUCAUUGGGCUGAAAAGAACUAGAGCAGUUGAAAGGCUCAUCUGAAGGGAAAGUCGAGAGAAAUAACUACAAACAAGAGCAGCAGCGUGCUGGUUCUUUUUUCUUCUUUUAUUUUUUAAGCCCUCUACGCAAGUGAAAACCUGAAAGGCAGGCAUUGUUAAACUGGUUCAGAAAAACUGCAGGAGCUAAAAAAAUAUAUCCAACAAACAAAAAACGCCCAACAAUUUCCACCUUUCAAAAUGGAAUAUAUUUAUGGUUUGGAUCAAUACUAGGAGGUCUUGUGUUUUUUUUUUCGUUUACUGCAUGCUUAGAGUGGAUUUUACAAUGGAUUACUGAUGGCUAAGGCCCGUGACUUUUGAAGAUAACAGAGCAAAUUUCCCCAAAUUUCACAUCUUUAUCAGGGAACUGCUUGCAACUUAACAAGAUUUCUCUUCCUCCAAGUGUAAAGAGCAGCCUUCCAUGAAGAAAAAGGGUUGGUUCAUCACUCUUUCGUGGACUAAGCAGCAUGUCUGAUGACAUUUUAUUCCUGAUGCAAUGUAGGCUAGCUGUCAAAAUACUGGUGAAGAGAUUUGCAGGGAAAAUGGGCACCUCUGCCAUCACCACAGCAGAAGAUGUAAAAAGGCAAGAGGAGAAAGAGGAAAAAGAAGAAUCGAUUUUAGCCAUGCUGGGAAUAAUUGGAACAAUACUUAAUCUCUUUGUUAUUGUUUUUGUGUACAUCUACACUACGCUCUGAUGGGAUUUUUCCAGUGUCAGCUGUAUACAGGAGACAGAUCAGCUCUGCUGAGAAUGUGUUUUAAUACUUUGCCUUUAGAAAGCAUGGCUGCAAAAAAAAAAAAAAGAAAAUUCAGCAAACACGUUCAAGAGCCAAGUGGCUCAGCUCAGGGCACCCCACCAGAGAUAGCAGGAUGCACCUGGAAACCCAGCCCCCAACUUCUCAUACAUCACAGACUGGAAAAGCUUCAGCAAUGGACAUCAUUGCUUUAUGACCAUAAAAUUGAUAUUGUGAAUGGAGAAACUGAAAUCGUCAUAAGGCUGUAAAGUAUCUAUUUUACUGACAAUUUAAUGUCUAUAAAAACCCACUAUUUUCUUGGGAUUCUUGACUAGAUACCUACUUAUUUGAAAAAAAAAGGGGAGGGGAAAAUGGACUUGCUUAAAUAGAUCUUGGAAGUUUUUUUCUUACCCUAUUCACCCUCAGAUGUAUAAUUCAUUUUUUUCUUCCCACACUGUAAUAUAACCAAAAGUACUGUAAAGUAACAAAUAAAAAUUUUCACCGCUGUCUA